UGCAGCUGGUCCUCGGGCUGGUGAACCGAAGCCCGACGCUGAUGUAGUUUUAGAGGACAUCGCUCUUGUUAGUGUGAGCAUAUCCCUUGUGAAGAUGCUAUCUUUAAAUUGCUAUUGUCUUCUGGAUCGGGACCUCUGCCGGUGAGAAUGGAUGAGGGAGGUUUUCACCCACAUGGUUAGUCAUCUAUACGGAGACAGGGGGAACCUCCGCAGAACUACGCCAGCCUUUGUUUAUCUGCUGACAGGUUUAGGCUGAGCAACAAAAGGAGAAUAUGCCGAUAAGUCAGUUAUUGAUUGGAAUCGUCUUCAAUAUGGCUUGAACUUGGCUUUGCUGAUGGGUGUCUGUGAAGUUCUCAGAGGAUACUACAUUGGCUCCAGGAGAAAGAGAUCUUCUUCAAAUGUUGGCUAGAGAUUGUAUGGGGGAUGCUUUGGAUGGUAUACCUUUAUGCAGAAGUAUCAGAACCAGAUUUGUAAGCCACUGUUUAAGGCAAUUAAGUUUUAUUUUGAUAAUUAACUAUAUUUAAGCAAUUAUAGUAGAAUUGGUAACACUUUAGUUUAGGGUUCAAUUCUCACUAUUAACUAGUUGCUUAUUAGCAUGCAUAUUACUAGAAUAUUGUCUGUUUAUUAGUACUUAUAAAGUACCUAUUAAUAAGCAGUAAUUAGGAGUUUAUUGAGGCAAACGUCAUAGUUAAUAGUUAGUUAAUUAACUUAAUAGUGAGAAUUGGACCCUAAAGUGUGACCAAAAAUGGUUUGUCUUAAACAGUGUGGCGGAAAUGAACUAUGAUGGUGAAAGUAAAGAUAUGCCAUUCUUUUGAACUUUUCAAAGAAUCCUGAGGGGAAAAAAAGUAUCACUUUCCACAUAAAUAUUAAGCAGCAUAACUGUUUUCAACAUUGAUAAUAAUAAGAAUUGUUGGUAACACUUCAGUAUAGGGAACAUGUAUUCACUAUUAACUACAACUUUUGCCUCAAUAAAUUCCUAAUUUACUGCUUAUUAAUAGUUAGUAAGGUAGUUGUUAAUUUUAGGUAUUGGGUAGGACUGAGGAUGUAGAAUAAGGUCAUGCAGAAUAAGACAUUAAUAUCUGCUUUAUAAAUACUAAUAAACAACCAAUAUCCUAGUAAUAUGCAUGCUAAUAAGCAACUAUAGUUCAUAGUGAGAAUUGGACCCUAAAAUAAAUUGUUACCGAAUUUUUAUUUGAUCACGAACUCAGCAUUUUAAAAUGAUUUCUGAGUAGUGGCUGUCUAAAAAUUUAACUUUUCCAUCACAGGAAUAAAUUACAAUUUACAGUAUAUUCAAUUAGAAAUAUGUUAUUUUAAAUUGGAAAUUGGAAAAAUAUUUCACAGUUUUUACUGUAUUUUAUGCAAUAAAUGCAGCCUCGCUGAACACUUUUGAACGGUAGUGUGUAUAAAAAUGGGUGCCUGACUUCCCUGGCUGUAUGGCUGACCUAUUGGCCUUGAUCACAGCAAACAAUAGUGAAUGAAAUGGAACCAGCACUCGGAGUUCAUGUUGGAAUUGAACUCUUUAUCGUUUAAUAAUACUGAGAAAGGCCAGUAAGGGUCCAUUUCAUGGUUUGGUGCCUUGAAUGAGAGUGACAUUGAACCCAAGUGAUGACAAAGUCCUAUUAAUCUGUAGCAUGUGUGAGGAAUCUCACAGCAUGUCCUAGCAUUUCCAAAGUCUUUUUUUUUUUUUUUUUCUGUCAACACUGACAAUUAGAUUAAAAUAUUAUGAUUGUACUGAAUUUUGGUUCUCAAGUCAAUUUAUCUGGCAUGCAAUAUGUUUAGACAUUCUUUCAGUUAUUUUAGAGAGCUGUUAAAGAUUUAUUAAAAGACAAACUUGUCAAUUUAUUCCUAAUGAGCUCAUCAUGUGUGCUUUCUUGUUCCGUUCUUGAUUGAUUAUCUUGGCUAGAUAUUUGCAUAUUCAUUUCUUGCACAAGAUGUUCCCAGAAUUCCCAUUAGGAAUGGAGAAACUGGAUUCUUUAAGAGAAACAUCAGAGGAAAACCAAGGCUUUUGC